AGUAAUACAUCGGAACGUGUCUUCUAGUGGGGGAUAACUGCCCGAAAGGGCAGCUAAUACCGCAUGAGACCUGAGGGUGAAAGCGGGGGAUCGCAAGACCUCGCGCUGGAAGAGCGGCCGAUGUCUGAUUAGCUAGUUGGUGAGGUAAAGGCUCACCAAGGCGACGAUCGGUAGCUGGUCUGAGAGGACGACCAGCCACACUGGGACUGAGACACGGCCCAG
rnacentral:rRNA from 1 species